AUGCAAGUCGAACGGCAGCACGGGUGCUUGCACCUGGUGGCGAGUGGCGAACGGGUGAGUAAUACAUCGGAACGUACCUUAUCGUGGGGGAUAACGCAGCGAAAGUUGCGCUAAUACCGCAUACGCCCUGAGGGGGAAAGCGGGGGACCGUAAGGCCUCGCGCGAUUAGAGCGGCCGAUGUCUGAUUAGCUUGUUGGUGAGGUAAAAGCUCACCAAGGCGAUGAUCAGUAGCUGGUCUGAGAGGACGAUCAGCCACACUGGGACUGAGACACGGCCCAGACUCCUACGGGAGGCAGCAGUGGGGAAUUUUGGACAAUGGGGGCAACCCUGAUCCAGCAAUGCCGCGUGAGUGAAGAAGGCCUUCGGGUUGUAAAGCUCUUUUGUCAGGGAAGAAACAGCAGCUCUAACACAGACUGCGAAUGACGGUACCUGAAGAAUAAGCACCGGCUAACUACGUGCCAGCAGCCGCGGUAAUACGUAGGGUGCGAGCGUUAAUCGGAAUUACUGGGCGUAAAGCGUGCGCAGGCGGUUAUACAAGACAGGCGUGAAAUCCCCGGGCUUAACCUGGGAAUGGCGUCUGUGACUGUAAAGCUAGAGUGUGUCAGAGGGGGGUGGAAUUCCACGUGUAGCAGUGAAAUGCGUAGAUAUGUGGAGGAACACCAAUGGCGAAGGCAGCCCCCUGGGAUAACACUGACGCUCAUGCACGAAA
rnacentral:rRNA from 1 species